ACACGACUCUCGGCAACGGAUAUCUAGGCUCUCGCAUCGAUGAAGAACGUAGCAAAAUGCGAUACUUGGUGUGAAUUGCAGAAUCCCGUGAAUCAUCGAGUUUUUGAACGCAAGUUGCGCCCGAAGCCAUCCGGCCGAGGGCACGUCUGCCUGGGCGUCACGCAUCUCGUCGCCACCCCCUCCUCCCCGCGUCCUC
rnacentral:rRNA from 1 species